rnacentral:rRNA from 1 species
UCCGUAGGUGAACCUGCGGAGGGAUCAUUACAAGUUGACCCCGGCCCUCGGGCCGGGAUGUUCACAACCCUUUGUUGUCCGACUCUGUUGCCUCCGGGGCGACCCUGCCUCCGGGCGGGGGCCCCGGGUGGACAUUUCAAACUCUUGCGUAACUUUGCAGUCUGAGUAAAUUUAAUUAAUAAAUUAAAACUUUCAACAACGGAUCUCUUGGUUCUGGCAUCGAUGAAGAACGCAGCGAAAUGCGAUAAGUAAUGUGAAUUGCAGAAUUCAGUGAAUCAUCGAAUCUUUGAACGCACAUUGCGCCCCCUGGUAUUCCGGGGGGCAUGCCUGUUCGAGCGUCAUUUCACCACUCAAGCCUCGCUUGGUAUUGGGCGACGCGGUCCGCCGCGCGCCUCAAAUCGACCGGCUGGGUCUUUCGUCCCCUCAGCGUUGUGGAAACUAUUCGCUAAAGGGUGCCGCGGGAGGCCACGCCGUAAAACAACCCCAUUUCUAAGGUUGACCUCGGAUCAGGUAGGGAUACCCGCUGAACUUAAGCAUAUCAAUAAGCGGAGGAAGUCGAC